rnacentral:rRNA from 1 species
UACUCCUACGGGAGGCAGCAGUGGGGAAUAUUGCACAAUGGGGGGAACCCUGAUGCAGCCAUGCCGCGUGAAUGAAGAAGGCCUUCGGGUUGUAAAGUUCUUUCGGUGACGAGGAAGGUUGAUAGGUUAAUAGCCUAUCAAAUUGACGUUAAUCACAGAAGAAGCACCGGCUAACUCCGUGCCAGCAGCCGCGGUAAUACGGGGGGUGCGAGCGUUAAUCGGAAUAACUGGGCGUAAAGGGCACGCAGGCGGUGACUUAAGUGAGAUGUGAAAGCCCCGAGCUUAACUUGGGAAUUGCAUUUCAUACUGGGUCGCUAGAGUACUUUAGGGAGGGGUAGAAUUCCACGUGUAGCGGCGAAAUGCGUAGAGAUGUGGAGGAAUACCGAAGGCGAAGGCAGCCCCUUGGGAAUGUACUGACGCUCAUGUGCGAAAGCGUGGGGAGCAAACAGGAUUAGAUACCCUGGUAGUCCACGCUGUAAACGAUGUCGAUUUGGGGAUUGGGCUUUGAGCUUGGUGCCCGUAGCUAACGUGAUAAAUCGACCGCCUGGGGAGUACGGCCGCAAGGUUAAAACUCAAAUGAAUUGACGGA